AUACGAAGGGUGCAAGCGUUAAUCGGAAUUACUGGGCGUAAAGCGCGCGUAGGUGGUUCAGCAAGUUGGAUGUGAAAGCCCCGGGCUCAACCUGGGAACUGCAUCCAAAACUACUGAGCUAGAGUACGGUAGAGGGUGGUGGAAUUUCCUGUGUAGCGGUGAAAUGCGUAGAUAUAGGAAGGAACACCAGUGGCGAAGGCGACCACCUGGACUGAUACUGACACUGAGGGGCGAAAGCGUGGGGAGCAAACAGGAUUAGAUACCCUGGUAGUCCACGCCGUAAACGAUGUCAACUAGUUGUUGGGUUCCUUGAGAACUUAGUAACGAAGCUAACGCGAUAAGUUGACCGCCUGGGGAGUACGGCCGCAAGGUUAAAACUCAAAUGAAUUGACGGGG
rnacentral:rRNA from 1 species